rnacentral:rRNA from 1 species
AAUAGAUACCCGGGUAGUCCAUGCCGUAAACGAUGAGUGCUAGGUGUUGGAGGGUUUCCGCCCUUCAGUGCCGCAGCUAACGCAUUAAGCACUCCGCCUGGGGAGUACGACCGCAAGGUUGAAACUCAAAGGAAUUGACGGGGGCCCGCACAAGCGGUGGAGCAUGUGGUUUAAUUCGAAGCUACGCGAAGAACCUUACCAGGUCUUGACAUCUUGCGCCAACCCUAGAGAUAGGGCGUUUCCUUCGGGAACGCAAUGACAGGUGGUGCAUGGUCGUCGUCAGCUCGUGUCGUGAGAUGUUGGGUUAAGUCCCGCAACGAGCGCAACCCUUGUUACUAGUUGCCAGCAUUCAGUUGGGCACUCUAGUGAGACUGCCGGUGACAAACCGGAGGAAGGUGGGGACGACGUCAGAUCAUCAUGCCCCUUAUGACCUGGGCUACACACGUGCUACAAUGGACGGUACAACGAGUCGCGAACUCGCGAGGGCAAGCUAAUCUCUUAAAACCGUUCUCAGUUCGGACUGCAGG